ensembl:lncRNA
ACUCAGUGGUCAGUCAAUGGUCACUCAGUGGUCAGUUGGUCACUCAGGGUCACUCAAUGGUCAGUGGUCAGUGUGGUCAGUGCAGUCAGUGUGGUCAGUGGUCACUCAGUGGUCACUCAGGGUGGGUCAGUGGUCACUCAGGGGUCACUCAGUGGUCACUCAGGGUGGGUCAGUGGUCACUCAGUGGUCACUCUGGUCACUCAGAGCGCCCCCGGCGGCUCCGGGAGCUGCAGGUGCCGCUGUUGCCGCUGGCUCUGUGUGGUCAGUGUGGUCAGUGGUCACUCAGUGGUCACUCAGGGGUCACUCAGGGUGGGUCAGUGGUCAGUUGGUCACUCAGUGGUCACUCUCUGGUCACUCAGAGCGCCCCCGGCGGCUCCGGGAGCUGCAGGUGCCGCUGUUGCCGCUCUCUCUGUGUCGCCGCCUCUACGGAACCGACCUGGGCCCGGCGCUGCCCCCGCGGAGGAUCCGGGACGACAUGGUGUGUGCUGGGGACCCGAGGGGCGGGGCCGACACCUGCCAGGUGAGUCUGGGGUACACCUGGGGACACCUGAGAUACCUGUGAUACACCUGGGUACACCUGAGAGACACCUGAACACACCUGGGGACACCUGGGGACAUGGUGUGUGCCGGGGACCCGAAAGGAGGGGCUGAUACCUGCCAGGUGAGUCUGGGGUACACCUGGGGACACCUGAGAUACCUGAGAUACACCUGGGGACACCUGGGGACAUGGUGUGCGCCGGGGACCCGAGGGGCGGGGCUGAUACCUGCCAGGUGAGCACACCUGGGGACACCUGGAUACACCUGGGGUACACCUGAACACACCUGAGACACACCUGAACACACCUGGGGACACCUGAGAUACACCUGGGGACACCUGGGGACAUGGUGUGCGCUGGGGACCCGAGGGGCGGGGCUGAUACCUGCCAGGUGAGCACACCUGAGAUACCUGAGAUACACCUGGGGACACCUGGGGACACCCGGGCCUCGUCCUUCAGGUGCUCCACGUACUCUGAAACGGCACACCUGGGGUCACCUGGGGGCACCUGGGGUCACCUGGGCACACCUGGGGACACCUGAGAUACCUGGGAUACACCUGGGGUACCUGGGAUACACCUGGGGUACCUGAGAUACACCUGAGAUACACCUGGGGACACCUGGAAUACACCUGGGACACCUGGGGUACCUGGGGACACCCGGGCCUCGUCCUUCAGGUGCUCCACGUACUCUGCAACGGCACCUGGGGUCACCUGGGCACACCUGGGGACACCUGAGAUACCUGGGAUACACCUGGGGUACCUGGGAUACACCUGAGAUACACCUGAGAUACACCUGGGGACACCUGGGGACACCUGGGGUACCUGGGCACACCCGGGCCUCAUCCUUCAGGUGCUCCACGUACUCUGGAACGGCACCUGGGGUCACCUGGGCACACCUGAGAUACCUGAAAUACACCUGAGAUACACCUGGGGACACCUGAGCACACCUGGGGACACCUGAGAUACCUGGGAUACACCUGGGGUACCUGGGAUACACCUGAGAUACACCUGGGGUCACCUGGGCAC